rnacentral:rRNA from 1 species
AUUGAACGCUGGCGGCAGGCUUAACACAUGCAAGUCGAGCGAGCGGCGGACGGGUGAGUAAUGUCUGGGAAACUGCCUGAUGGAGGGGGAUAACUACUGGAAACGGUAGCUAAUACCGCAUACCAUCAGAUGUGCCCAGAUGGGAUUAGCUAGUAGGUGGGGUAAUGGCUCACCUAGGCGACGAUCCCUAGCUGGUCUGAGAGGAGGACCAGCCGCACUGUACCUGAAACACGGUCCAGACUCCAACGGGAGGCAGCGGUGGGUAAUAUUGCACAAUUGGCGCAAGCCUGAUGCAGCCAUGCCGCGUGUGUGAAGAAGUCCUUCGGGUUGUAAAGCACUUUCAGCGAGUAGGCGUUACUCGCAGAAGAAACACCGGCUAACUCCGUACCAGCAGCCGCGGUAAUAC